rnacentral:rRNA from 1 species
UCACUUUAACACUGAGGCGUGACGACGAGGCACUACGGUGCUGAAGCAACAAAUGCCCUGCUUCCAGGAAAAGCCUCUAAGCAUCAGGUAACAUCAAAUCGUACCCCAAACCGACACAGGUGGUCAGGUAGAGAAUACCAAGGCGCUUGAGAGAACUCGGGUGAAGGAACUAGGCAAAAUGGUGCCGUAACUUCGGGAGAAGGCACGCUGACACGUAGGUGAAGUGAUUUACUCAUGGAGCUGAAGUCAGUCGAAGAUACCAGCUGGCUGCAACUGUUUAUUAAAAACACAGCACUGUGCAAACACGAAAGUGGACGUAUACGGUGUGACGCCUGCCCGGUGCCGGAAGGUUAAUUGAUGGGGUCAGCGCAAGCGAAGCUCCUGAUCGAAGCCCCGGUAAACGGCGGCCGUAACUAUAACGGUCCUAAGGUAGCGAAAUUCCUUGUCGGGUAAGUUCCGACCUGCACGAAUGGCGUAAUGAUGGCCAGGCUGUCUCCACCCGAGACUCAGUGAAAUUGAACUCGCUGUGAAGAUGCAGUGUACCCGCGGCAAGACGGAAAGACCCCGUGAACCUUUACUAUAGCUUGACACUGAACAUUGAGCCUUGAUGUGUAGGAUAGGUGGGAGGCUUUGAAGUGUGGACGCCAGUCUGCAUGGAGCCGACCUUGAAAUACCACCCUUUAAUGUUUGAUGUUCUAACGUGGACCCGUAAUCCGGGUUGCGGACAGUGUCUGGUGGGUAGUUUGACUGGGGCGGUCUCCUCCUAAAGAGUAACGGAGGAGCACGAAGGUUGGCUAAUCCUGGUCGGACAUCAGGAGGUUAGUGCAAUGGCAUAAGCCAGCUUGACUGCGAGCGUGACGGCGCGAGCAGGUGCGAAAGCAGGUCAUAGUGAUCCGGUGGUUCUGAAUGGAAGGGCCAUCGCUCAACGGAUAAAAGGUACUCCGGGGAUAACAGGCUGAUACCGCCCAAGAGUUCAUAUCGACGGCGGUGUUUGGCACCUCGAUGUCGGCUCAUCACAUCCUGGGGCUGAAGUAGGUCCCAAGGGUAUGGCUGUUCGCCAUUUAAAGUGGUACGCGAGCUGGGUUUAGAACGUCGUGAGACAGUUCGGUCCCUAUCUGCCGUGGGCGCUGGAGAACUGAGGGGGGCUGCUCCUAGUACGAGAGGACCGGAGUGGACGCAUCACUGGUGUUCGGGUUGUCAUGCCAAUGGCACUGCCCGGUAGCUAAAUGCGGAAGAGAUAAGUGCUGAAAGCAUCUAAGCACGAAACUUGCCCCGA